rnacentral:lncRNA from 1 species
UUUUACUUGGAUUUUGUGUAUUUUGACAGUUUUGACACAUUUUCGUAUUUCGGCUAUAACUUGAGCUACAAUGAUCGGAUUAAGAUGAUUCUUGAACCAAUUUGAAUAUAAGAGAUAGAUCUACAACUUUGGUGAAGACAUCUAAAUCCAGUUUGAAGGUUUUCCAGGUCAAAAUGCCGAAUUACAAUAGCAAAUUUCUACUGGUCGAAACUGGAACAGGGCAAUGAGCAGGUAAGGGUAUUUUGGUCAUUUCGCAGCCUACACAGAUCCAAAUGAGGUGAUUCUUGAUGCAUUGGAAAGAUAACUCAAAGGGUUACAAGUUUUAUGUUUUGGUCAAG